GUUGAGUGGUGAUUGCUUUGUGCAUCUCAACAAGCUGUUCGCAGAUGGUGGCGUAGACAGAUAUCUGUUGCCUCAGCAGUUCCAUUUGUUCGUCGGUCAUCACUUUAACAGACAGAGAGCAUCCUCAGACCUCAAGUCAAACCUUAAAGUAGCGUAGUUUACUGCGCGAUUUAGCCUAAUACCGCAAAUCUCGCAGGAUGAUCGAACGGUUCUCGUUAAGACAGGCAACCGGGACAUCCAAGACAUACUAUUCAUCAGAUCGGGCGACCAUUUGAUUAGAUUAUAAACUAUAACAACGGAUUAAGGCCCCUAAUGGAGGUUAAGGCGUGAUUGGGUCGUCGUCAGGUCCACGAAAGGUAAAAGCCCAUUACAACUAGUAUAAAUAGAGGUCUCAGGUAUGUCUUCAGACCAGACUGUACUCGUUGCACAUUAUGUAUUACUCUCAUCCAUUGAUAUUACCAUUUGGUCACUUAACUGACUUGAGCGUCGAAGUUUCUUUGACAGACACCCGCCCACCCGGCCUAGAGAGCGAGGAGGGAGAACCAACAACUUGGAGCACGAGGAAACAACAAGAGAUCGUUUAACCUUCAACAGGUGACCACCCUUUCUUCUCAGACUGUUCAGCCUACUACACCAGGAAAAACAUUCAGCCUUCACAGACCGUCCGUCCUUUCACACCACUUGGAAUGCUCCAGGCACCAUCCAUCCGGUCUUCACCACUUGACACCACUUUACACCUGAAACAACCAUAAUUUUUUUGGAUGUAACUACUACUAUAAACUUUUGUGAUUAAAAGAACGUUACAAAUUACAAUUGUCUCUAACCAUUAAGAGUGUUACUCUCUGCACCUCCACACAUCACUUCCUGCACCUCCCCAUUCCUCUUUUGUCCUUAAAUUAAAUCGAUAUC